rnacentral:rRNA from 1 species
GGUCUUUUCUAUGGAAGCUUGCUUCCACUGAGAAGAUAGUGGCGGACGGGUGAGUAACACGUGGGUAACCUGCCCAUAAGAGGGGGAUAACAUCCGGAAACGGGUGCUAAUACCGCAUAGUUUUCUUGAUCGCAUGAUUGAGAAAGGAAAGACGGCCUUUGUGCUGUCGCUUAUGGAUGGACCCGCGGCGUAUUAGUUAGUUGGUGAGGUAACGGCUCACCAAGACGAUGAUACGUAGCCGACCUGAGAGGGUGAUCGGCCACAUUGGGACUGAGACACGGCCCAAACUCCUACGGGAGGCAGCAGUAGGGAAUCUUCCGCAAUGGACGAAAGUCUGACGGAGCAACGCCGCGUGAGUGAAGAAGGUUUUCGGAUCGUAAAACUCUGUUGUCAGAGAAGAACAAGUCGGAGAGUAACUGCUCCGGCCUUGACGGUAUCUGACCAGAAAGCCACGGCUAACUACGUGCCAGCAGCCGCGGUAAUACGUAGGUGGCAAGCGUUGUCCGGAUUUAUUGGGCGUAAAGCGAGCGCAGGCGGUUCCUUAAGUCUGAUGUGAAAGCCCACGGCUCAACCGUGGAAGGUCAUUGGAAACUGGGGAACUUGAGUGCAGAAGAGGAGAGUGGAAUUCCAUGUGUAGCGGUGAAAUGCGUAGAUAUAUG